GACGAACGCUGGCGGCGUGCUUAACACAUGCAAGUCGAACGGAAAGGCCCUGCUUUUGUGGGGUGCUCGAGUGGCGAACGGGUGAGUAACACGUGAGUAACCUGCCCUUGACUUUGGGAUAACUUCAGGAAACUGGGGCUAAUACCGGAUAGGAGCUCCUGCUGCAUGGGGGGGGUUGGAAAGUUUCGGCGGUUGGGGAUGGACUCGCGGCUUAUCAGCUUGUUGGUGGGGUAGUGGCUUACCAAGGCUUUGACGGGUAGCCGGCCUGCGAGGGUGACCGGCCACCUUGGGACUGAGGUACGGCCCAGACUCCUACGGGAGGCAGCAGUGGGGAAUAUUGCACAAUGGGCGGAAGCCUGAUGCAGCAACGCCGCGUGCGGGAUGACGGCCUUCGGGUUGUAAACCGCUUUCGCCUGUGACGAAGCGUGAGUGACGGUAAUGGGUAAAGAAGCACCGGCUAACUACGUG
rnacentral:rRNA from 1 species